GGUCGGUUGGCCGAGUGGCUAGGCAGAGGUCUGCAAAACCUCGUACGGCGGUUCGAAUCCGCCACCGACCUCCC
rnacentral:tRNA from 1 species